rnacentral:lncRNA from 1 species
GGUUGUUCUGAACAGAAUGAGUCUGUUAGUUGUACAGUUACAAGAUGACAUGUCGUCAUACCCUGGGUUGUUCUGAACAGAAUGAGCCUGUUAGUUGUACAGUUACAAGAUGACAUGUCGUCAUACCCUGGGUUGUUCUGAACAGAAUGAGUCUGUUAGUUGUACAGUUACAAGAUGACAUGUCGUCAUACCCUGGGUUGUUCUGAACAGAAUGAGUCUGUUAGUUGUACAGUUACAUGAUGACAUGUCGUCAUACCCUGGGUUGUUCUGAACAGAAUGAGUCUGUUAGUUGUACAGUUACAAGAUGACAUGUCGUCAUACCCUGGGUUGUUCUGAACAGAAUGAGUCUGUUAGUUGUACAGUUACAAGAUGAUAUGUCAUACCCUGGGUUGUUCUGAACAGAAUGAGUCUGUUAGCUGUACAGUUACAAGAUGACAUGGUCAUACCCUGGGUUGUUCUGAACAGAAUGAGCCUGUUAGAUGUACAGUUACAAGAUGACAUGGUCAUACCCUGGGUUGUUCUGAACAGAAUGAGCCUGUUAGAUGUACAGUUACAAGAUGACAUGGUCAUACCCUGGGUUGUUCUGAACAGAAUGAGCCUGUUAGAUGUACAGUUACAAGAUGACAUGUCGUCAUACCCUGGGUUGUUCUGAACAGAAUGAGCCUGUUAGCUGUACAGUUACAAGAUGACAUGUCAUACCCUGGGUUGUUCUGAACAGAAUGAGUCUGUUAGUUGUACAGUUACAAGAUGACAUGUCAUACCCUGGGUUGUUCUGAACAGAAUGAGCCUGUUAGUUGUACAGUUACAAGAUGACAUGUCGUCAUACCCUGGGUUGUUCUGAAUAGAAUGAGUCUGUUAGUUGUACAGUUACAAGAUGACAUGUCGUCAUACCCUGGGUUGUUCUGAACAGAAUGAGUCUGUUAGUUGUACAGUUACAAGAUGACAUGUCAUACACUGGGUUGUUCUGAACAGAAUGAGUCUGUUAGCUGUACAGUUACAAGAUGACAUGGUCAUACCCUGGGUUGUUCUGAACAGAAUGAGUCUGUUAGUUGUACAGUUACAAGAUGACAUGUCGUCAUACCCUGGGUUGUUCUGAACAGAAUGAGCCUGUUAGUUGUACAGUUACAAGAUGACAUGUCGUCAUACCCUGGGUUGUUCUGAACAGAAUGAGUCUGUUAGUUGUACAGUUACAAGAUGACAUGUCGUCAUACCCUGGGUUGUUCUGAACAGAAUGAGUCUGUUAGUUGUACAGUUACAAGAUGACAUGUCAUACCCUGGGUUGUUCUGAACAGAAUGAGCAUGUUAGCUGUACAGUUACAAGAUGACAUGGUCAUACCCUGGGUUGUUCUGAACAGAAUGAGCCUGUUAGUUGUACAGUUACAAGAUGACAUGUCAUACCCUGGGUUGUCCUGAACAGAAUGAGCCUGUUAGAUGUACAGUUACAAGAUGACAUGUCAUACCCUGGAUGUUCUGAACAGAAUGAGCCUGUGUUUGUCUAUUGUGAAGGAAAUUUGCCACGAAACACGUACCAGAGUGGACUGAUGACUCCUUUCUAUCCGCUCCAAAAUGAUGAUCAAUUUCCCUGAAUUGCAUUGUGAAAGCCUGACACUGUACUAUCCUAUUUUAUAACUUAGCUAGUCAUGUUGGUAAUAGAACAGGCUUUCAAACGAUGCACACCUGACCCUGAUUUAUAAUGGACCGUUUCUGGAUUGCGUAAACAACAACAGUAAUUGUGUGAUGGCGGGGAUGCAAGGUUGUGUUCCAAACACCACAACUACAAGCGUACUUGCACUACAUCCUCAAUGGCACAGUUCAGAGAGCUCAAAAAAGUACCUUAUAGUUAGCUGAAGACUCUUCUUUGAGUCAUAGAAGUGCAUUGAAAUGACUUAGAGAACUGUGUACACUUUACAGAGGUGUGUGUCCACUUGGAGACACCAGUUAGUCCUCUCACUCAAACCCUUGUCAUUUUCUUUGUCUUAUGUUGCACCUACCACACAUUUUCCAGAAAUAUUCGUAUCAUGUUACUGAAUGUAUCCAGAGUAUUUUCUAAUUUCGUUAAACAAAUGCGGCAACAAGUACAGUAAAUGUAAAAUGCACAUAAAAUCGACAGUGUAAUGUUUGGAUUUAGUCUUGUGUCUGGUGAAUUGUUGUGUCCUCACCUUUAGUCUAGUAAUGUUCCUAUAAUCACCAAACUGUUCCCUUUCCAUUGCUACCAUGGUUAUGCAUACACUUUCAUAUUUCUUCUGUAAGAAACAUUUUAAACACACACACACUUCAAUUUAGCCUUAUCCAUAUACUGUAGGCCAGUUCCCACGAGUGUAAAGGGUUAAGAACAGUGGAGGCUGUUGAGGGGAGGACGGCUCAUAAUAAUGGCUGGAACAGACAAAUAGAAACCAGGUGUUUAAUGUAUUUGAUCCCAUUCCAGUCAUUCCUCUCCAGACAUUACCACAAGCCUGUCCUCCCCAACCAAGGUGCCACCAACCUCCUGUGCUUAAGACAACAAAAUCAAUCAGCUUUUUAUCUGACUCCUUCCAAUUUUUUAAAAACAGUGAAUUCCCUGAAGUGUGCAAAUUCUUCCCCUUCUCUGCCUACGCACGUUUUGUCAGACACUGGCAUCAUUACUGAAAAAAGUGUGAUACGGGAUGCUUUUAAUCAUUUUAUUUUGUCAGGCUAUUUAUUUGAGAGGAAUGGUGGUUUAAAUAACCUUGGUCAGUCAGUUUGUUGCUCUUCCCUCUCCCAGCCUCCAGCUGACUCCACGGUUAACCUCUCAACUACUGGUGAAUCAGUAUGUUCUGUCCGCACCACCCCCUGCUUGCUGAAUAAUUUACCCAUAUCUUUAACCUGAUUAUAUCUGGUACUAUCACCAAGGUUUGGAAGACGGCUCUGGUACUCCCCCUUCACAAAGGUGGUGAUCGAUGUGACCUACGCUGAACAAAAAUAUAAAUGUAAAGUGUUGGUCCUAUGUUUCAUGAGCUGAAAUAAAAGAUCACAGAAAUUUACCAAUCGCACAAAGACCUUAUUUCUCUCAAAUUCUAUGCACAAAUUGGUUUACAUCCCUGUUAGUGAGCAUUUAUCCUUUGCCAAGAUAAUCCAUCCACCUGAUAGGUGUGGCAUAUCAAGAAGCUGAUUAAACAGCAUGAUCAUUACACAGCUGUGCCUUGUGCUGGGGACAUAAAAGGCCACUCUAAAAUGUGCAGUUUUGACACACAACAUAAUACCAAAGAUCUCUCAAGUUUUGAGGGAGCGUGCGAUUGGCAUCCUGACCUCUGGAAUGUCCACCAGAGCUGUUGCCAGAAAAUUGAAUGUUUAUUGAAUGUUUAUUUCUCCACCAAGUUUUUUUAUGUUACAACACAGAACAGUCAAAUGCCUUUCUUGCAAAUUCAAAACCCAACAGUGCAAUAAUCAAAAACAAUGUAAUACUAGACAAAACACACAAGAAAUAAGAAUAAGUAAAUGAAAUACACAAUAAAGUAAGUAUACUAUAUACAGGAAAUAUUUAAAAAGUCAGAUCCAAUACCAUAUUUAAAUGUGCAGGGAUACUGGAGUGAUGGAGGUAGAUAUGUAUAGGGGUAAGGUGACAGGGAUACUGGAGUGAUAGAGGUAGAUAUGUAUAGAGGUAAGGUGACAGGGAUACUGGAGUGAUGGAGGUAGAUAUGUAUAGGGGUAAGGUGACAGGGAUACUGGAGUGAUGGAGGUAGAUAUGUAUAGGGGUAAGGUGACAGGGAUACUGGAGUAAUGGAGGUAGAUAUGUAUAGGGGUAAGAUGACAGGGAUACUGGAGUGAUGGAGGUAGAUAUGUAUAGGGGUAAGGUGACAGGGAUACUGGAGUGAUGGAGGUAGAUAUGUAUAGGGGUAAGGUGACAGGGAUACUGGAGUGAUGGAGGUAGAUAUGUAGUGGGGUAAGGUGACAGGGAUACUGGAGUGAUGGAGGUAGAUAUGUAUAGAGGUAAGGUGACAGGGAUACUGGAGUGAUGGAGGUAGAUAUGUAUAGGGGUAAGGUGACAGGGAUACUGGAGUGAUGGAGGUAGAUAUGUAUAGGGGUAAGGUGACAGGGAUACUGGAGUGAUGGAGGUAGAUAUGUAGUGGGGUAAGGUGACAGGGAUACUGGAGUGAUGGAGGUAGAUAUGUAUAGGGGUAAGGUGACAGGGAUACUGGAGUGAUGGAGGUAGAUAUGUAUAGGGGUAAGGUGACAGGGAUACUGGAGUGAUGGAGGUAGAUAUGUAUAGGGGUAAGGUGACAGGGAUACUGGAGUGAUAGAGGUAGAUAUGUAUAGAGGUAAGGUGACAGGGAUACUGGAGUGAUGGAGGUAGAUAUGUAUAGGGGUAAGGUGACAGGGAUACUGGAGUGAUGGAGGUAGAUAUGUAUAGAGGUAAGGUGACAGGGAUAUUGGAGUGAUGGAGGUAGAUAUGUAUAGGGGUAAGGAGACAGGGAUACUGGAGUGAUGGAGGUAGAUAUGUAUAGGGGUAAGGUGACAGGGAUACUGGAGUGAUGGAGGUAGAUAUGUAUAGGGGUAAGGAGACAGGGAUAUUGGAGUGAUGGAGGUAGAUAUGUAUAGGGGUAAGGUGACAGGGAUACUGGAGUGAUGGAGGUAGAUAUGUAUAGGCGUAAGGUGACAGGGAUACUAGAGUGAUGGAGGUAGAUAUGUAUAGGGGUAAGGUGACAGGGAUACUGGAGUGAUGGAGGUAGAUAUGUAUAGAGGUAAGGUGACAGGGAUAUUGGAGUGAUGGAGGUAGAUAUGUAUAGGGGUAAGGAGACAGGGAUACUGGAGUGAUGGAGGUAGAUAUGUAUAGAGUUAAGGUGACAGGGAUACUGGAGUGAUGGAGGUAGAUAUGUAUAGGGGUAAGGUGACAGGGAUACUGGAGUGAUGGAGGUAGAUAUGUAUAGGGGUAAGGAGACAGGGAUAUUGGAGUGAUAGAGGUAGAUAUGUAUAGGGGUAAGGUGACAGGGAUACUGGAGUGAUGGAGGUAGAUAUGUAUAGGGGUAAGGUGACAGGGAUACUGGAGUGAUGGAGGUAGAUAUGUAUAGGGGUAAGGUGACAGGGAUACUGGAGUGAUGGAGGUAGAUAUGUAUAGGGGUAAGGUGACAGGGAUACUGGAGUGAUGGAGGUAGAUAUGUAUAGGGGUAAGGAGACAGGGAUAUUGGAGUGAUAGAGGUAGAUAUGUAUAGGGGUAAGGUGACAGGGAUAUUGGAGUGAUGGAGGUAGAUAUGUAUAGGGGUAAGGUGACAGGGAUACUGGAGUGAUGGAGGUAGAUAUGUAUAGGGGUAAGGUGACAGGGAUACUGGAGUGAUGGAGGUAGAUAUGUAUAGGGGUAAGGUGACAGGGAUACUGGAGUGAUGGAGGUAGAUAUGUAUAGGGGUAAGGUGACAGGGAUACUGGAGGGAUGGAGGUAGAUAUGUAUAGGGGUAAGGUGACAGGGAUACUGGAGUGAUGGAGGUAGAUAUGUAUAGGGGUAAGGUGACAGGGAUACUGGAGUGAUGGAGGUAGAUAUGUAUAGGGGUAAGGUGACAGGGAUACUGGAGUGAUGGAGGUAGAUAUGUAGUGGGGUAAGGUGACAGGGAUACUGGAGUGAUGGAGGUAGAUAUGUAUAGAGGUAAGGUGACAGGGAUACUGGAGUGAUGGAGGUAGAUAUGUAUAGGCACAAGGUGACUAGGCAACAAGAUAUAAGAUAAACAGAGUAGCAACAGGUUGUAUGUGAGUGGGUGUGGGGGUGUGUAGAGUCAGUAUAAAUCUAUGUGCAUAUUAUGUGUGAAUGAGCAGAUGAUGGAGUAAGUGAGUGAGUGUAUGUGUGUUGGAGUGACAGUGUGUGAGUGUGUUAGUGUGCAUAGAGACAGUGCAAAAAUAAGUGCUCAAUAAAGAUACAAGGUUAACUCAGAUAGUCCAUGUAGCUAUUUUGUUAUCUAUUUAUCAGUCGUAUUGCUUGGGGAUAGAAGCUGUUCAGGAACCUGUUGGUGUCAGACUUGAUGUAUCGGUACCUCUUGCCGUGCGGCAGCAGAGAGAAUAGUCUAUAGGGUGGUUGGGUGGUUAGGGUUUUUGACGACUUUUCUGGGCCUUCUUUUCACAACGCCUGAUAUAGCGGUCCUGGAUGGUAGGGAGCUCGGCCCCAGUGAUGUACUGGGCUGUCCGCACCACCCUCUGUAGCGCCAUGCGAUCAAGGGUGGUGCUGUUGCCAUACCAAGCGGAGUUUGCAGCCAGUCAAUGCUCUCAAUUGUACAGCUGUAGAACCUUUUCAGGAUUUGAGGGCUCAUGGCAAACUUUUUAAACCUCCUGAGGGGAAAGAGGCAAUGUCCCGCCUUCUUCACGACUUCCCGACUGCAACGUCGUUUUAGACAAUUUGGCAGUACAUCCAGUACAGCCUCACAACCGCACACCACCUGUAAGGCAUCGUGUGGGCGAGCGGUUUGCUGAUGUCAACGUUGUGACAAAGUGCUCCAUAGUGGUGGUGGGGUGAUGGUAUGGGCAGGCAUAAGCUACAGACAACAAACACAAUUGCAUUUAUCAAUGGCAAUUUGAAUGCACAGAGAUACCGUGACGAGAUCCUGAGGCCCAUUGUUGUGCCAUUCAUCAGCCGCCAUCACCUCAUAUUGCACGGCCCCAUGUCACAAGAAUCUAUACACAAUUCCUAGAAGCUGAAAAUAUCCGAGUUCUGGCAUGGCCUCUAUACCAGACAUGUCACCUAUUGAGCAUGUUUGGUAUGCUCUGGAUCGACGUGUACGACAGGGUGUUCCAGUUCCCACCAAUAUCCAGAAACGUGGCAGAGCCAUUGAAGAGGAGUAGGACAACAUUCCACAGGCCACAAUCAACAGCCUGAUCAUCUCUAUGCGAAGGAGAUGUGUUGCACUGCAUGAUGCAAAUGGUGGUCACACCAGAUACUGACUGGUUUUCUGAUCCACGACCCUACCUUUUUUAAAGGUAUCUGUGACCAACAGAUGGAUAUCUGUAUUCCCAGUCCUGAAAUCCAUAGAUUAGAGACUAAUGAUAUUUUUUAAAUUGACUGAUUUCCUUAUAAUGAACUGUAACUCAGUAAAAUCUUUGAAAUUGUUGCAUGUUGCGUUUAUAUUUUUGUUCAGUAUAGAUAACUACUGCCCUAUCUCAAAACGUUCUUACCUAGCUAAAAUAUGAAGCUACUGUAAGAUCUUUCAUAUAUAGGAAUUGUAUUCAGUCGGUCUUCAGACCAGGUCAUAGCACUGUGUAUUCUGUUGUCCAGGCUCUAUCUAAACUGCAGUCUACUUUAAUUGUUUUACAGAAAAACGUUAUUGACCUGAAAUGAGUAUUGAAUGCGGAUAAAACAAAGUAUAUGUUGUUUUCUAGAGCACAUGAUUUAAACAUAUGUACCUUGGAUGGUGCCCACAUUGAUCGUGUCCCUGCUUACAAAUAUCUGGCCAUUUGGAUAAACAAUAAGCUGUCUUUUAAAAAGCAUAUUGAUGAGUUAACUAAGAAGUUGAGAAUAAAAAUGUAUAAAGCCCUUUUGCAAAAACUCCCACACUACCUGACAUCUUUACUUAGGCAUGGAAGUACGAGUUACCAUACUCGAUCACAUGGAUGGCUAACUGUGGAAAUUCCAUCUGUUGCUCCGAAAAAACAGCUGUUCGUUUCUUUGCACCCCAUGUGUGGAACAAUCUUCAGAGUUCCCUACAAAAGAUGUAUUGGUGCCUUUCAGGCAUUUCAGUGUUUAAUGAGGACCUCUUUGCUGAGGAAUGUGAUCGUUUUUCAUGAGUGUACUUUAUUUUAUUGUUUUCUCUUUGUAUUUAUUUUCUGGUGUAUUUCCUAUGUGUCAUUUGUUGUGUAAUUGUAAGAUGCAGGGCUCCCUUGCAAAAGAGACCUUGAUCUCAGUGGGACUCCCUGUCAAAAUAAAGGAUGAGAUGUGUAUUUAUUUCAUCUGUGUGGUAGAUGAGAUGUGUUAUUGUUUAGUGUUGUUUUGUUAAUGACACUAAUUAGUUCAGUUCCCGUCUGCUGCUGCUCUGAACAGCCAAUCAGAAGUCCCGCUGUGAGAUCGUCAGCUAGAGGCUAGAGGUAAUGGCUGCUGUGUGUAUGUAGAAGUGACAGGGCCGUUCUCUUUAUAUCACGUAUCAGCAUGUCUUAUUACGUGGCAUCAUGUCUAUUUAUGAGUGCCUUUUAAUCACAUGUGCUGUUGUUUACAACGAUUAUCUUUCACUUAAUUCCUUACAUUCUUACGUGUGAAAUUGAAUUAAUUAAAUCACAUGGACUAUUUUGCUUGCUUGUACGGUGUGUUGUGAUUCCACCAAUUGGCAUGGACUAAAGUGACAUUGAGAAUGUUGCCAAUUCCCUAUCCCCUCCUCCCUCCCAAAACGAAUUGCUAAACACGCCCCAGAACUAGAGUCAGAAGGAAGUGGAAUGUGUCUUCAGCACGCCAUUCAGACCGGGGACCUCUCGACCGACAACAUCCACCUCAUUGCUGCUGAUUGCUGCUCCUCUCCACUGUUCACCUGCUGUGGGAAGAAGACACUACUCAUACAAGGCUCUCUAUAGCACUCCUAAAGGAAAGGGAUUGUUUAGAGUAGGACUCUAAUUGUUGCCAGUAGUUGCUCUAAUUGUAUGUUAUGCGACUACAGACACAGGGGACACGCCCACACAGCUGUGAGAGGUUACACCCAACGCUACAACCCAGCAGGCCCGGCGUAGAGCGAGAGAUAACCCAGCAGGCCCGGGGUAGAGCGAGAGAUAACCCAGCAGGCCCGGCGUAGAGCGAGAGAUAACCCAGCAGGCCCGGCGUAGAGGGAGAGAUAACACAGCAGGCCCGGCAUAGAGCGAGAGAUAACCCAGCAGGCCCGGCGUAGAGCGAGAGAUAACCCAGCAGGCCCGGCGUAGAGCGAGAGAUAACCCAGCAGGCCCGACGUAGAGCGAGAGAUAACCCAGCAGGCCCAGCGUAGAGCGAGAGAUAACCCAGCAGGCCCGGCGUAGAGCGAGAGACAGCCGGGGAAAGCAGCCACCGACCACCGAACCUGCUAUUGAUGAGCCAUCCACUACCGGACCAGCCAUCCACUACAGAACCAGCCAUUCACUACCGGAUCAGCCAUCCACUACUGGACCAGCCAUCCACUACCGGACCAGCCAUCCAUUACCGGACCAGCCAUCCACUACCGGACCAGCCAUCCACUACCAGACCAGCCAUCCACUACCGGACCAGCAAUCCACUACCGGACCAGCCAUCCAUUACCAGACCAGCCAUCCACUACCGGACCAGCCAUCCAUUACUGGACCAGCCAUCCAUUACCGGACCAGCCAUCCACUACCGGACCAGCCAUCCAUUACCGGACCAGCCAUCCAUUAUCAGACUAGCCAUCCACUACUGGACCAGCCAUCCAUUACCGGACCAGCCAUCCACUACCGGACCAGCCAUCCACUACCGGACCAGCCAUCCAUUACCGGACCAGCCAUCCACUACCGGACCAGCCAUCCACUACCGGACCAGCAAUCCACUACAAGACCAGCCAUCCAUUACCGGACCAGCCAUCCACUACCGGACCAGCCAUCCAUUACCGGACCAGCCAUCCACUACCGGACCAGCCAUCCACUACCGGACCAGCCAUCCACUACCGGACCAGCCAUCCACUACAAGACCAGCCAUCCACUACCGGACCAGCCAUCCACUACCGGACCAGCCAUCCACUACCGGACCAGCCAUCCACUACAAGACCAGCCAUCCACUACCGGACCAGCAAUCCACUACAAGACCAGCCAUCCAUUACCGGACCAGCCAUCCACUACCGGACCAGCCAUCCACUACCGGACCAGCAAUCCAUUACCGGACCAGCCAUCCAUUACCGGACCAGCCAUCCAUUACCGGACCAGCCAUCCAUUACCGGACUAGCCAUCCACUAACAACUCCUGGUCGGGUUGAAGAGCUGAACGACGUGUGAGUGAGUACCAAUGGUCUCCAGUAUGAUGAUGUUACUGAUGAAGCUUUCUCCACCCUUUCCAGAUGUGGCCUGCUACGACAAGACUGCUGAGGCCAGGACUACCGCAUCAGAACCUCAUGAUGCCAACACCGAAGCGACGAACGCUCCAUGCUAAACAACUAUGGACUCUAGCUGGUAUGUGGUGUGAGUUUGCCCCGGCCUGUCCUUGUGUUUUGUUCUGUGUUGCUUUUAUCCUGUAACACACUAUAAAUAUUAAUAAAAGAGAAAAUAAAGAUAUUAAAGAACUCUAGACACUGACUGUCUGCCUCCUGCCUAUGUCUGUAGUAUUGGGAUUGAAUUUUUUUUUGUGUGUGUGUGUGUGUGUGUGGUGUGCUUUCAUAAAUGCCUUGCAUAUAGUUAUGAAAUACAAUAUAAUGGUUUUAUAUAGCCGGACUGAUAUUUAUUUAAUCAUUCAUUACUUCAUUAACUGUCUGAGAAGUCUCUCUAGCAAUAUGAAAAACAAUAUGGUCCAUUCUGACUGAGUCACACAUUCAUGACCUGUCUAUCAUGAGAGAGAGGAGGCAAGGAGGGAGAGAGAGAAGUAGGGGGGAAGGGUGUGUGAAGAGAGGGGAGAAGGAGAGGGGGGGAGAGGGAGAGUCCAGUAUGUUGAAGCAGGUCUGGUCCAGGUGGGGUUUAGUCAGUCAGUGUGUUAUUUUAG